AGGAGUUUAUUUAAAGAGGCAGUAUGCCUUUUGCUGAUGCCUGUGGCAUAUGGGAAGCCAGCGCUGCCCAGGUGGAGCGCCUAAAAUUUACGCGACGUGGCGCCCUGGUGAACUGGCUGAGAGCCAGCUAGCAGGACAGACCCUCCGCGAGGUGUACUGUGGGCACAUUUUAGCUUUUGAACUCGCCGCUUGCGCUGCAACGCAUCAUGAACGUCAUGCGACACUACCCCCGGUUUUGCCCAAUGUGCGUCGUGCUGUAGCAGGUAAUCUGGAACGCGCAAGACCAGCGAAGAUUUAGACACUGUUCAAAACAGGGAUGCAGCGGGUGAGCAGCGAUGCCAGCAACUAUUCUCCCCUACAGUUUCAGCGAUGUGGUGUGCGCACCUUCACGAGACUGUUGUUGAAAGGAGGGACGCUGUUUGAUAUCAAGUACGUCUAUGACGCGGAAGAAACAUUGUGACCUUUCAACGUUGUGCCAAGCAUUCUACGGCGUGAAUUCACGGAGCACCAACCCAUGUCCAUUGGUGGAAAACGACGCCAGAGGGAGUUGAACUAUACAUGCUCUGGACUAUUUUUUUCCUGUUAUUAAAACCUUUUUGUGGUUGUGGCAUUUGUGAAUACAACAAUA